GAUGAACGCUGGCGGCGUGCCUAAUACAUGCAAGUCGAGCGAACGGACGAGAAGCUUGCUUCUCUGAUGUUAGCGGCGGACGGGUGAGUAACACGUGGAUAACCUACCUAUAAGACUGGGAUAACUUCGGGAAACCGGAGCUAAUACCGGAUAAUAUUUUGAACCGCAUGGUUCAAAAGUGAAAGACGGUCUUGCUGUCACUUAUAGAUGGAUCCGCGCUGCAUUAGCUAGUUGGUAAGGUAACGGCUUACCAAGGCAACGAUGCAUAGCCGACCUGAGAGGGUGAUCGGCCACACUGGAACUGAGACACGGUCCAGACUCCUACGGGAGGCAGCAGUAGGGAAUCUUCCGCAAUGGGCGAAAGCCUGACGGAGCAACGCCGCGUGAGUGAUGAAGGUCUUCGGAUCGUAAAACUCUGUUAUUAGGGAAGAACAUAUGUGUAAGUAACUGUGCACAUCUUGACGGUACCUAAUCAGAAAGCCACGGCUAACUACGUGCCAGCAGCCGCGGUAAUACGUAGGUGGCAAGCGUUAUCCGGAAUUAUUGGGCGUAAAGCGCGCGUAGGCGGUUUUUUAAGUCUGAUGUGAAAGCCCACGGCUCAACCGUGGAGGGUCAUUGGAAACUGGAAAACUUGAGUGCAGAAGAGGAAAGUGGAAUUCCAUGUGUAGCGGUGAAAUGCGCAGAGAUAUGGAGGAACACCAGUGGCGGAGGCGACUUUCUGGUCUGUAACUGACGCUGAUGUGCGAAAGCGUGGGGAUCAAACAGGAUUAGAUACCCUGGUAGUCCACGCCGUAAACGAUGAGUGCUAAGUGUUAGGGGGUUUCCGCCCCUUAGUGCUGCAGCUAACGCAUUAAGCACUCCGCCUGGGGAGUACGACCGCAAGGUUGAAACUCAAAGGAAUUGACGGGGACCCGCACAAGCGGUGGAGCAUGUGGUUUAAUUCGAAGCAACGCGAAGAACCUUACCAAAUCUUGACAUCCUUUGACAACUCUAGAGAUAGAGCCUUCCCCUUCGGGGGACAAAGUGACAGGUGGUGCAUGGUUGUCGUCAGCUCGUGUCGUGAGAUGUUGGGUUAAGUCCCGCAACGAGCGCAACCCUUAAGCUUAGAUGCCAUCAUUAAGUUGGGCACUCUAAGUUGACUGCCGGUGACAAACCGGAGGAAGGUGGGGAUGACGUCAAAUCAUCAUGCCCCUUAUGAUUUGGGCUACACACGUGCUACAAUGGACAAUACAAAGGGCAGCGAAACCGCGAGGUCAAGCAAAUCCCAUAAAGUUGUUCUCAGUUCGGAUUGUAGUCUGCAACUCGACUACAUGAAGCUGGAAUCGCUAGUAAUCGUAGAUCAGCAUGCUACGGUGAAUACGUUCCCGGGUCU
rnacentral:rRNA from 1 species